GAUGAACGCUGGCGGCGUGCUUAACACAUGCAAGUCGAACGAUGAAGCCCAGCUUGCUGGGUGGAUUAGUGGCGAACGGGUGAGUAACACGUGAGUAACCUGCCCUUAACUCUGGGAUAAGCCUGGGAAACUGGGUCUAAUACCGGAUAGGAGCGUCCACCGCAUGGUGGGUGUUGGAAAGAUUUAUCGGUUUUGGAUGGACUCGCGGCCUAUCAGCUUGUUGGUAAGGUAAUGGCUCACCAAGGCGACGACGGGUAGCCGGCCUGAGAGGGUGACCGGCCACACUGGGACUGAGACACGGCCCAGACUCCUACGGGAGGCAGCAGUGGGGAAUAUUGCACAAUGGGCGAAAGCCUGAUGCAGCGACGCCGCGUGAGGGAUGACGGCCUUCGGGUUGUAAACCUCUUUCAGUAGGGAAGAAGCGAAAGUGACGGUACCUGCAGAAGAAGCACCGGCUAACUACGUG
rnacentral:rRNA from 1 species